CAGGAGAAGAGGCAUUGAAAGAAGGUGGCUUACAGUAGAAUUUGAGGAAACUUCCCCAAAAGUGUCAUCUUGGUGCCUCUUGGAGAUCUGACCCUGGCCACCCACCAGUCUCUUCAGCAGCAGGCACUCAGGACCAUGCUAGAAGCUUGCCUUGAAGUUGCUUGUGAACAUCUCUCAAUACUUGUCCAAGACUGGCAGAUGAUAGAAUCUUCUUUGCAAAAGAUGGCAGAGUUCC